UGCAGGGGGGGGGGCAGCUUGAAAGCAAGGUGACAAUUUGUGAAAAUUUGUGCCCAUUUGCUCCUCUAGACACCCCUGAAAGCCCAGCUUGAAGAUCAGUUAAGGAGUAAGAAAUUGAAACUUUUGAAACUCCACCGGCUCCCAAUGGAUUCAACUCUCCAACGAACAAAAGUAAAGACGAACACUGAUAACUAUGUCAAGUAGACUGUAUUCACCAUGAGACCCCCUGAGUUUAAUGAGUGGCUAUUGAUUUAGCCAACACACUGUAUUAUGUCUUGAAUGGAAGCCAACAUAUUGACAAAUUGCUACGACCAUAACAUAAUCAUUUUUCUUGUUCAGAAGCAUAGAAUAUAAGUUCCAUUAAAAAAACACCCUUUACAUUGUCAGUGGUAAUGCAAUAAAGCCAGCUAAGUACUUGGGGUAAUGGGACGACUAUCGCCGACCAGAUUUUAAAAAUGGCACAUUAAAAAAUGCAAUCAUGUUUUAGGGAAUUCUAUUAGAGCACCUCUCUGUUUAUUGGUAGAACAAAUUUCUCUCCGAAAAUUGUUUUGCUCUGUGCUCAUAAUCAGCGUUCCAAGCUCAGCUGGCGGAGGAGGCAAUAAAUUACACACAACUGAUGCUCA